CCACACACCUGCGCUGUGCCAGCCCCCCUCACGCUCUACCCUGCGUUUCUCUAAAAUCAGCAUGAGACGGUCUGAUCUGGGCUGGGCUGCGUAGCCCAACUGUACCUGCCACAUGCCCAUCCUCAGCGUGGCUCUCCACUGAGCACUAUGAAUAGAAACUUAGCGAACGAGAGAUAAGCAGUCGGCUUUGGCACAUGCCACACUCCUAGCAGCACUUUGGGGUUGCCAUGGAAACAGGGACGAGUACAGCUAACGCUGCCCCAACAUCUUCCUAUCAUGCCCACUCAAGAUCAUUAACAUUGCACGUUUAUUUCCUAACCUCCAUGACAGAUUUCUGCGUUGGUUCACCUCUGAUCACGCUGUCCAGGCCGGAGUGCCCAUCUGGAGGCCACACGGUCCAUCAACCCAGUCUCCUAUAUAAACCCGGUCAAGAGGAGAAUUGACCUAUCGUGCCCCACGGGUAGGACACACCAAUGUUUAAAACAGCUCACUCUCCAUUUCCUGUUCUCACAGCACCCAGCAGAGGAGACGGGAGCAGCUGUUGGAGCGGGUGGAGUGUG